UUUCGAACAAAUUUAGGUUCAGAAAUCUUUUCUUCCAAGUUAGCACAUGUAUUCACAAUAUCUUGAAGACGAGUAUAAUACUCGAAAAAGGUUUCAUAUUCUUCCAUGUGGAUUGAAUCAAAUCUACUAGUUAGCAUUUGCAAUUUUUGAACCUUUACCAAGCUUGUACCCUCAUGUGUAACUUGUAAAUUGUUCCAAAUUUCUUUGGCGUUUCACACACACCGAAACUCGUGAAAAUUCAGUUUGAUUUAAAGCAUUGAACAAAACAUUAAUACCCUUUCCGUUAAACGAUAAUAAUUCAUUUUCUUCCUUCGUCCAUUUAUUUCUAGGUUUAGGGACGGUAGAAUUAUCGACAACUUCAUUAGGAUGUUUCCAUCCAAAUUCAAUCGAUUGCCAUACCCGCUCGUCAAUAGCAAUAAGAAACACUUUCAUACGAACUUUCCAAUAAGCGUAAUUAGCACCAUCAAA
rnacentral:lncRNA from 1 species